rnacentral:rRNA from 1 species
GACGAACGCUGGCGGCGUGCUUAACACAUGCAAGUCGAACGGAAAGGCCCUGCUUUUGUGGGGUGCUCGAGUGGCGAACGGGUGAGUAACACGUGAGUAACCUGCCCUUGACUUUGGGAUAACUUCAGGAAACUGGGGCUAAUACCGGAUAGGAGCUCCUGCUGCAUGGUGGGGGUUGGAAAGUUUCGGCGGUUGGGGAUGGACUCGCGGCUUAUCAGCUUGUUGGUGGGGUAGUGGCUUACCAAGGCUUUGACGGGUAGCCGGCCUGAGAGGGUGACCGGCCACGUUGGGACUGCGAUACGGCCCAGACUCCUACGGGAGGCAGCAGUGGGGAAUAUUGCACAAUGGGCGGAAGCCUGAUGCAGCAACGCCGCGUGCGUGAUGACGGCCUUCGGGUUGUAAACCGCUUUCGCCUGUGACGAAGCGUGAGUGACGGUAAUGGGUAAAGAAGCACCGGCUAACUACGUG